UUGACAUCCAGAGAAUUUAGCAGAGAUGCUUUAGUGCCUUCGGGAACUCUGAGACAGGUGCUGCAUGGCUGUCGUCAGCUCGUGUUGUGAAAUGUUGGGUUAAGUCCGCAACGAGCGCAACCCUUAUCCUUUGUGCCAGCACGUAAUGGUGGGAACCCAAAGGAGACUGCCGGUGAUAAACCGGAGGAAGGUGGGGAUGACGUCAAGUCAUCAUGGCCCUUACGAGUAGGGCUACACACGUGCUACAAUGGCGCAUACAAAGAGAAGCGACCUCGCGAGAGCAAGCGGACCUCAUAAAGUGCGUCGUAGUCCGGAUUGGAGUCUGCAACUCGACUCCAUGAAGUCGGAAUCGCUAGUAAUCGUAAAUCAGAAUGUUACGGUGAAUACGUUCCCGGGCCUUGUACACACCGCCCGUCACACCAUGGGAGUGGGUUGCAAAAGAAGUAGAUAGCUUAACCUUCGGGAGGGCGUUUACCACUUUGUGAUUCAUGACUGGGGUGAAGUCGUAACAAGGUAAGCGUAGUGCU
rnacentral:rRNA from 1 species